GACAGAGGAUGCAAGCGUUAUCCGGAAUGAUUGGGCGUAAAGCGUCUGUAGGUGGCUUUUUAAGUCCGCCGUCAAAUCCCAGGGCUCAACCCUGGAACUGCCUCUAAUACUGGGCAUCUAGAGUCCGAGAGAGGUGAGUGGAAUUCCGAGUGUAGAGGUGAAAUUCGUAGAUAUUCGGAGGAACACCAGUGGCGAAGGCGGCUCACUGGCUCGGUACUGACGCUGAGGUGCGAAAGCGUGGGGAGCAACAGG
rnacentral:rRNA from 1 species